UACAGAGGGUGCAAGCGUUGUUCGGAAUUAUUGGGCGUAAAGCGCGUGUAGGCGGCUUUGUACGUCGGGUGUGAAAUCCCUCGGCUUAACCGGGGAACUGCGUCUGAUACUGGAUGGCUUGAGGUUGGGAGAGGGAUGCGGAAUUCCAGGUGUAGCGGUGAAAUGCGUAGAUAUCUGGAGGAACACCGGUGGCGAAGGCGGCAUCCUGGACCAAUUCUGACGCUGAGGAACGAAAGCUAGGGGAGCAAACAGG
rnacentral:rRNA from 1 species